GAUUGCAGUACUGCCAUUGGCUGUCAUGAUGUUUGGUCAUGAUGAAUUUUCGCAAGAUGAGUGGGUUUAAAAAGGUGUAAUAUUGUUGGGUUUUUAUCAGACUUGAACAUCAGUUAGUGGAUCCUGCUGCAGACUCAACAGAGCAACAUCUACAGUACAGAGCCUGCUGAUCAGCACAGACGAGAUGAACAUUCUUCUGGUCAUCACCGUUAUGUUCGCUCUCCUCCAUCUGGGGAAAAAUCAAUCCUGUACGUCAAAAAGUGACCAACAGGAGUACAAGGACUUUGUGAAGAAACACUUCGUUCACAAGCAAUUUGACAGAACAUCAAGGGUUCAAUGGAAGAGGUACAUAGAGGAUAAAGGCCUCUGCAACAGAGCGGAGCAGUCCUUCCUCGAGCCGACCGAUCAGAUAAACGUUGAGGCGAUCUGUGGUGUCAAUGGUCGCCGUGUACAGGACAUCUACCAGCCAAAGCAGAACAACCUAUGCAUCAGUACUCAGAAGAUGAUUAUGUAUCAUUUGAAAGUCGAAGACAAGUGAGUUUGUCAAACAAAAAGCAAGUACCACCUCCUGCAGUGGCUGAGUUCCUGUAAUUGUUUAACAUUGGAUCUCAGUUGUCGGCCCAUUGUUGACCUGACAGCUAAAUCCGCUUUAAUGCUUAAAGCCUUAAUGCAUUUAUACUCUGUGAAAUGUUCACUUCCUGAUAAUGAUCCAAAUCAAUAGUUUGCAUGUCUACAUGAUUCACUUCUCCAUGAUGAGUUGACUUUUUUUUUGUCUCCC
ensembl:lncRNA